rnacentral:rRNA from 1 species
AUUGAACGCUGGCGGCAGGCUUAACACAUGCAAGUCGAGCGAGCGGCGGACGGGUGAGUAAUGUCUGGGAAACUGCCUGAUGGAGGGGGAUAACUACUGGAAACGGUAGCUAAUACCGCAUACCAUCAGAUGUGCCCAGAUGGGAUUAGCUAGUAGGUGGGGUAAUGGCUCACCUAGGCGACGAUCCCUAGCUGGUCUGAGUGGAUGACGAGCAAACGUGGAAGUGGGACCCGGUGCUGACUGCUACGGGAGGCAGCAGUAGGGAAUGUUGCAAAAGGGGCGCAGGUCUGAUGCAGCCAUGCCGGGUGUGUGAAGAGGGCCUUCGGGUUGUAAAGCACUUUCAGCGAGGAGGCGUUACUCGCAGAAGAUGCACCGGCUAACUCCGUGCCAGCAGCCGCGGUAAUAC